rnacentral:tRNA from 1 species
GUUAAUGUAGCAAAAUCUGGCUUUGCAAAAGACCUAAAACCUUUCCAUAGAGGUUCAAAUCCUCUCAUUAACU